rnacentral:rRNA from 1 species
UAAAGUCGAGUUGGCUUAGGGAUACGUUCGUUGGGUAGGGGAGCGUUCUGUAAGCCUGUGAAGGUGUGUCGUGAGGCAUGCUGGAGGUAUCAGAAGUGCGAAUGCUGACAUAAGUAACGAUAAAGCGGGUGAAAAGCCCGCUCGCCGGAAGACCAAGGGUUCCUGUCCAACGUUAAUCGGGGCAGGGUGAGUCGACCCCUAAGGCGAGGCCGAAAGGCGUAGUCGAUGGGAAACGGGUUAAUAUUCCCGUACUUGGUGUUACUGCGAAGGGGGGACGGAGAAGGCUAUGUUGGCCGGGCGACGGUUGUCCCGGUUUAAGCGUGUAGGUGUGUGUUCCAGGUAAAUCCGGUUCACUUUAACACUGAGGCGUGACGACGAGGCACUACGGUGCUGAAGCAACAAAUGCCCUGCUUCCAGGAAAAGCCUCUAAGCAUCAGGUAACAUCAAAUCGUACCCCAAACCGACACAGGUGGUCAGGUAGAGAAUACCAAGGCGCUUGAGAGAACUCGGGUGAAGGAACUAGGCAAAAUGGUGCCGUAACUUCGGGAGAAGGCACGCUGACACGUAGGUGAAGUGAUUUACUCAUGGAGCUGAAGUCAGUCGAAGAUACCAGCUGGCUGCAACUGUUUAUUAAAAACACAGCACUGUGCAAACACGAAAGUGGACGUAUACGGUGUGACGCCUGCCCGGUGCCGGAAGGUUAAUUGAUGGGGUCAGCGCAAGCGAAGCUCCUGAUCGAAGCCCCGGUAAACGGCGGCCGUAACUAUAACGGUCCUAAGGUAGCGAAAUUCCUUGUCGGGUAAGUUCCGACCUGCACGAAUGGCGUAAUGAUGGCCAGGCUGUCUCCACCCGAGACUCAGUGAAAUUGAACUCGCUGUGAAGAUGCAGUGUACCCGCGGCAAGACGGAAAGACCCCGUGAACCUUUACUAUAGCUUGACACUGAACAUUGAGCCUUGAUGUGUAGGAUAGGUGGGAGGCUUUGAAGUGUGGACGCCAGUCUGCAUGGAGCCGACCUUGAAAUACCACCCUUUAAUGUUUGAUGUUCUAACGUGGACCCGUAAUCCGGGUUGCGGACAGUGUCUGGUGGGUAGUUUGACUGGGGCGGUCUCCUCCUAAAGAGUAACGGAGGAGCACGAAGGUUGGCUAAUCCUGGUCGGACAUCAGGAGGUUAGUGCAAUGGCAUAAGCCAGCUUGACUGCGAGCGUGACGGCGCGAGCAGGUGCGAAAGCAGGUCAUAGUGAUCCGGUGGUUCUGAAUGGAAGGGCCAUCGCUCAACGGAUAAAAGGUACUCCGGGGAUAACAGGCUGAUACCGCCCAAGAGUUCAUAUCGACGGCGGUGUUUGGCACCUCGAUGUCGGCUCAUCACAUCCUGGGGCUGAAGUAGGUCCCAAGGGUAUGGCUGUUCGCCAUUUAAAGUGGUACGCGAGCUGGGUUUAGAACGUCGUGAGACAGUUCGGUCCCUAUCUGCCGUGGGCGCUGGAGAACUGAGGGGGGCUGCUCCUAGUACGAGAGGACCGGAGUGGACGCAUCACUGGUGUUCGGGUUGUCAUGCCAAUGGCACUGCCCGGUAGCUAAAUGCGGAAGAGAUAAGUGCUGAAAGCAUCUAAGCACGAAACUUGCCCCGAGAUGAGUUCUCCCUGAGACUUAGAGUCUCCUGAAGGAACGUUGAAGACGACGACGUUGAUAGGCCGGGUGUGUAAGCGCAGCGAUGCGUUGAGCUAACCGGUACUAAUGAACCGUGAGGCUUAACCUUACA